rnacentral:rRNA from 1 species
AGCGAACGCUGGCGGCAGGCUUAACACAUGCAAGUCGAGCGGGCACUUUCGGGUGUCAGCGGCGGACGGGUGCGUAACGCGUGGGAACGUGCCCUCUGGUUCGGAAUAACUCAGGGAAACUUGAGCUAAUACCGGAUACGCCCUUUUGGGGAAAGGCUUGCUGCCGGAGGAUCGGCCCGCGUCUGAUUAGCUAGUUGGUGAGGUAACGGCUCACCAAGGCGACGAUCAGUAGCUGGUCUGAGAGGAUGAUCAGCCACACUGGGACUGAGACACGGCCCAGACUCCUACGGGAAGCAGCAGUGGGGAAUAUUGGAAAAUGGGCGCAAGCCUGAUCCAGCCAGGCCGCGUGAGUGAUGAAGGCCUUAGGGUUGUAAAGCUCUUUUAUCCGGGACGAUAAUGACGGUACCGGAGGAAUAAGCCCCGGCUAACUUCGUG